rnacentral:ncRNA from 1 species
GGGGGGCUCGAGGAGAACAGAAAUCUCCAGUAGAACAAAAGGGUAAAAGUCCCCUUGAUUUUGACCUUUAGUGUAUCGACAACCACCGUGU